rnacentral:rRNA from 1 species
AUUGAACGCUGGCGGCAGGCCUAACACAUGCAAGUCGAGCGGUAACACAGGGAGCUUGCUCCUGGGUGACGAGCGGCGGACGGGGGAGUAAUGUCUGGGAAACUGCCUGAUGGAGGGGGAUAACUACUGGAAACGGUAGCUAAUACCGCAUAACGUCGCAAGACCAAAGAGGGGGACCUUCGGGCCUCUUGCCAUCAGAUGUGCCCAGAUGGGAUGAGCUAGUAGGUGGGGUAACGGCUUACCUAGGCGACGAUCCCUAGCUGGUCUGAGAGGAUGACCAGCCACACUGGAACUGAGACACGGUCCAGACUCCUACGGGAGGCAGCAGUGGGGAAUAUUGCACAAUGGGCGCAAGCCUGAUGCAGCCAUGCCGCGUGUAUGAAGAAGGCCUUCGGGUUGUAAAGUACUUUCAGCGGGGAGGAAGGCGAUAAGGUUAAUAACCUUGUCGAUUGACGUUACCCGCAGAAGAAGCACCGGCUAACUCCGUGCCAGCAGCCGCGGUAA